rnacentral:lncRNA from 10 species
UAAAAGGUGUAACUAUCCUGCUGAUGCUGUACCUACAGCUUGCACCCAGAAAGAGAAUAAAGCCAUGUUGCAACUGCCUACGAUUCCUCAAGCGGUCUUUCAGCUACCUGCCACUCACACACCCACUCUCCUUGGACCUCAGCUUGGGCUAGAACCUGACACUUGGCAUAGUUGGCAGGAUCCCGAGAUUUAGAAGCAGUGGCACCCCUCUUGCAGCAACAUUUGGCAGCAUGUAGUUGGGCUGUCAACAAAUCCAAGGUCCAAGAAAUCCAAGGUCCAAGGUCCAAGGGCCUAGAUUAUCUGCCAAAUUCUUGGGAGCUAUCUGGUCAGCCUAUCAAUCAAGACCACAUCCUUUCAAAAGCUUAUAGAGCAGAAGUAGACUCCUACCACGCGUUCAGCUGGUGUCCUUUGACUGCUGCUUUGCUCAGUUCCACCUUGGAUGGCUUGCACUGCAUUUAACGGUUGGAAGUUAGACUUUUUGUAAAUCUACUCAUUUAUAUCAAGUUGAAGAGAGAUUUCCCUGAACACAGAAGAAGGAGGGCUUAUGAAGAUUCUUUUUUCUUUAUUUUCUCUUUUGUUUUGGUAAGUGGCCUUAAGGAAUCUAUAAUUCUUCAAAUUCCAUGGAAGAGAAACUUAACUAAAACAUUCAGCAUAUUUCUUCCAGUGAUUUCCCAAGUCAUCUGCUAUUUUGCUAAUAAAUAUCUUAUCACUUUGUCUCUUUGUCUGAUAGUACAUAUUUAUAUUCCUUUUACCCCGUUAGCCUGGAACUUCCUCAUGGGUAGGAGUUGUAACUUAUCCAUACUUACUGUACUUAGGGCAGAGCUUUAACAUAAAGGAGAUAUUUAAUAAAUUUUUUGGUGUGUGUGUGUAUUCAUACAGUUUUUAAAUACAUAUAUAGAUUUAGGGGGUACUUGUACGAAUUUGUCACAUAGCUAAAUUGCAUAAUGGUGAGAUUUAGGCUUCUAGUGUGCCUGUCACCCAGAUAGUGAAUAUUACGCCCAGUAGGUAAUUUUUCAGCCCUUACUCCCCUCUCUUCCCUCACUGCUUUUGGCAUCCCUAGUGCCUGUUAUUUCCCUUUGUAUGUCCAUGUGUACCUAUCACUUAGCUCCUAGUAAUAAAUAGAUGUGAUAUUUGAUUUUCUGUUUCUGAGUUAUUUCAUUUAGGAUAAUGGCCUCCAGCUCCACUCAUGUUGCUGCAAAAGACAUACUUUCAUUCUUUCUUUUAUGGCUGCAGAGUAUCCAAUUGUGUACGUGUUCCACAUAUUCUUUAUCCAGUCAUCCACUGAUGGACUUACACAAUUUUGUUGCACAGGUCAUUCGCCCGUGCACCAUUACCAAAAGAUCCUUUUCCUGAAAUAAGGCCACUCUAAAAACUCUGAGGAGCUGGGUUUUUGAGUUUCUCAUCCAGAUCAGGUACCUCUGUGACUUAGGAUCUGAACACUUCCUUCUUUACAAUUGAAAGUUUGAGGGGCCUGAGCUCAUUCAUUCUGUUUUUGUCUUUCAGUGGGGCUGCACCAGAAACAUUCUAGUAUUUUAGUAGAGUUUCAACUUUUUUAAAAAAAAGACAUCUAUCUUGGGAGCAAUGGCUUUUUCAUGUACAUUGAGAGGUGUUUUUUUCUCAGUAGAUUUGAGAGUUGAUGGCUUAUUUCCCUAUCCUCUCCCUAUGUCUGUCUAGAGAUGAUCCAUGUCCCUGAGUUGGGAUAAUAUCGUCCACAUGCCCACCCAGACUGUGAUUAUUGACGUUAGUGUGUGCACAAAGGUUAACUGUUGUUCCCAGAAAUCUCAAGAGGAUUUGUGGGAUUUAGUAAUCCUGGAAUCCUGAGCUUAGUCUCUUGGAGAUGGAUCUUACAUGAGGGAAAGCAGCUGUGUUAUCUGUAGGUGGAAAGAUCCACAUUUAGCUUAAAUCAAGUAUUAGUUGCACUAACUCUUCAGCAUUAUAUUGACAUCAGAUUUUCACGUUAAUUCUGUCUGUCUUUCUCACACACACAUUCCCGUUCAUUCUGGCUUUAUAGCAGUCGGCUGAAUAGUACUCUUUUCUUUGUCAGAAAAGCAAAACAUUUGUUAUGGUGCUUAAUCAAAUCCCAGGAUGGAUGUUUGUAUGCCUUUGAGUUCUUACAGUGAAAUGUGAUAGUUAACAUUUUGGCCUAUCUGAGAGGAUGCUAGCGAAUGUAAAGAACAAAUACAUUGAUUAUUAUUAUAGCUAUCUGUGGAUGUUUCUGCCAGAAAUCUUUAUAUUCCACAAGUUUUUUGUCAUAUAAACUAUUUCAACCAUUGUUAGCCAUCUAUAUAAAAG